rnacentral:sRNA from 1 species
AUGCGUUAAGGAUUGCAGCGACAUCCUUUUGUUUUUACAAAAGAUAUAGCGGAAAGCCUGACCUCAA